AAGGUCAGCUGAUUAUCAAAUUAUUAACUGGUUAUUUCUUAUGUGGCUCUAGCAUCACAGUAUAAUAUUAAACAUCAUAGCU